CUGUGGUUGAUGGUGGGUGUUUGGGAUGUGGGCGAUAUGGGGGUUUUCCAGGACUUUCAGGAUCUACAGGAUCUACAGGCUCUUCAGGGCAUUCAGGAUUCACAGGAUCCACAGGAUGUAAAGGCUCUUCAGGGCCCUCAGGGUUCGCAGGACCUGUGGUAGAUGGUGGGUGUUUGGGAUUUGGGCGAUAUGGGGGUUUUCCAGGUCCCACAGGAUCUACAGGAUCUACAGGAUCUACAGGCUCUUCAGGGCAUUCAGGAUUCACAGGAUCCACAGGAUAUAGAGGCUCUUCAGAGUCCUCAGGAUUCGCAGGACCUGUGGUAGAUGGUGGGUGUUUGGGAUGUGGGUGAUACGGGGGUUUCCCAGGACUUUCAGGAUCUACAGGAUCUACAGGCUCUUCAGGACCCCCAGGAUUCGCAGGACCUGUGGUAGACGGUGGGCGUUUUGGAUGAUGGGAAUAUC
rnacentral:misc_RNA from 1 species